rnacentral:lncRNA from 1 species
UUGAGACGAGGUCCCUUGAACCUCGAAUGUAGUUCAUUUAUUUAUUUAUUUAUUUAUUUUUUGUGUAGCUUGUCGCUUUUUCUUCUUCUUUUUGGUGUUAGGGCAAGGGUUUUCCCUUCUGCUCCUAUCGGGAUUGUAGGGAUGUAGAGGAGUUGCUGAGGGAUUUUUUUCUUCAUCCGAUUUCAAAUGACCAGAUCUUCAUUUGUGUCAGGAUGAGGUUCUCCUCCUGUUUCUGCCACAA